GACGAACGCUGGCGGCGUGCUUAACACAUGCAAGUCGAACGCUGAAGCUCAGCUUUUGUUGGGUGGAUGAGUGGCGAACGGGUGAGUAACACGUGAGUAACCUGCCUCCUUCUUUGGGAUAACGCCCGGAAACGGGUGCUAAUACUGGAUAUUCACUGGUCUUCGCAUGGGGGUUGGUGGAAAGGGUUUUUCUGGUGGGGGAUGGGCUCGCGGCCUAUCAGCUUGUUGGUGGGGUGAUGGCCUACCAAGGCUUUGACGGGUAGCCGGCCUGAGAGGGUGACCGGUAACAUUGGGACUGAGAUACGGCCCAGACUCCUACGGGAGGCAGCAGUGGGGAAUAUGGCACAAUGGGCGCAAGCCUGAUGCAGCGACGCCGCGGGAGGGAUGGAGGCCUUCGGGUUGUGAACCUCUUUCGCUCAUGGUCAAGCCGCAACAAUGGUUGUGGUGAGGGUAGUGGGUAAAGAAGCGCCGGCUAACUACGUG
rnacentral:rRNA from 1 species